UUCAGAGAGGACGAGAUCGUGACAUUCGCUGAUGAUU
rnacentral:sRNA from 1 species